CUUUCAGGCUGCUUGUCCCGUACCUUGGCUGGGUAGGUAGGUCUUGGAGCCUGCCAUCCAAAACCACCCCUGGGAAGCGCCCGCAACCCUUGGGGACGCCUCUCCUCCGGCUGCCCCCCUUCCCUGGAAUCCAGGUGUCACUGGGGCCGGGGAGGGGCUAGGAGCUCGGAUUUCUGCUUUGGGAAGUUUUUACAAGCCCACCCUCCCCCUGCCUUGGGUCCCGAGCCAAGAAUUUCAGAAAUCCGGGGCACAAAAACGCCAGUGUUUGCGGUCAAGGAUUAAAGGCGCGAGGUUGUCUUUAUUUAAUCUGCUCCGCCCUGCUCGGGUUUGCACGAAAAACCAAGCCUGGGAGCGGCGGUCCACGCAAGCGGAGACACAGCAUUAUCCCCUGGUCACUGGGCGCUGGAGUCUAGUGCCUAAUACCUUAAGCUACCUCUCCCCAUCAUCAAGAAACUCCCGCAUCUGCCAUAUAAAGGAAAUGUUUCUCAUUCACCCCCUCUCAUCUCUUCCCCCAUGAUAACUUCUUCCAUUUUCAAAGGAUCUUCGGCUCUACUUUUCAAGCAAAUUCAACAAAUCAGUGUAUGCCUAUGUAACUGGUAAAUGGUGAAGGGUAAUUAUUUCAUGUGCUUCUAACUCAGAAACAAUGGAAUAUUAACAGGGGUUUUCUGAAGAUCCAGUUGGACAAUUUUCAUCUUCAUCAUAUAAUGGACAUUUAUCUCCUACCUGUCUUAUCCACUGUCUUCCCUUGGAGACCACAAAUUUCACUGAAGGCAGCAUCUAUGUCUUAUUCAUGCUUGUGCUCUCUACCUCCCCUGACUCAGAAGGACUUACUCUUCUUUCUGCACAUUUUAGUAGAUGUGU